UACAGAGGGGGCAAGCGUUGUUCGGAAUUACUGGGCGUAAAGGGCGCGUAGGCGGCCUUCUAAGUCAGACGUGAAAUCCCCGGGCUCAACCCGGGAACUGCGUCUGAGACUGGAAGGCUUGAAUCCGGGAGAGGGAUGUGGAAUUCCAGGUGUAGCGGUGAAAUGCGUAGAUAUACGGAGGAACACCAGAGGCGAAGGCGGAUCGCUGGGCCAACACUGACGCUGAGACGCGAAAGCUAGGGGAGCAAACGGG
rnacentral:rRNA from 1 species